AUAGUACUCCCUUCGUCCGGAAAUACUUGUCAUCAAAAUGGAUAAAAAGGGAUGUAUCUAGAACUAAAAUAUGUCUAGAUACAUUCCCUUUUAUUCAUUUUGAUGACAAGUAUUUUCGGACGGAGGGAGUAUAUG
rnacentral:pre_miRNA from 1 species